rnacentral:rRNA from 1 species
UACGAAGGUGGCAAGCGUUAUUCGGAAUCACUGGGCAUAAAGGGCCCGUAGGCGGUUUGUUAAGUGAAUUGUGAAAUCCCUCGGCUUAACUGAGGAAUUGCUGUUCAUACUGGCAGACUAGAGUAUCGGAGAGGUAAGUGGAAUUCCUGGUGGAGCGGUGGAAUGCGUAGAGAUCAGGAGGAACGACGGAGGCGAAAGCGACUUACUGGACGAUAACUGACGCUCAGGGGCGUAAGCUAGGGGAGCAAACGGG